rnacentral:rRNA from 1 species
CCUACGGGUGGCAGCAGUGGGGAAUAUUGCACAAUGGGGGAAACCCUGAUGCAGCAACGCCGCGUGAGUGAAGGAGUAUUUCGGUAUGUAAAGCUCUAUCCGUAGGGAAGAAGAAAGACGGUACCUGCCUAAGAAGCCCCGGCUAACUACGUGCCAGCAGCCGCGGUAACACGUAGGGGGCAAGCGUUACCCGGAUUUCCUGGGUGUAAGGGGAGCGUAGACGGCUGUGCAAGUCGGAAGUGAAAGCCCGGGGCUCAACCGCGGAACUGCUUUGGAAACUGUAUGGCUUGAGUACUGGAGGGGCAGGCGGAAUUCCUAGUGGAGCGGUGAAAUGCGUAGAUAUUAGGAGGAACACCAGUGGCGAAGGCGGCCUGCUGGACAGAGACUGACGUUGAGGCUCGAAAGCGUGGGGAGCAAACAGGAUUAGAUACCCGGGUAGUC